GUUAUAUCAAGGAUUUUCAAGUUUUUGAUCCACAUAGAGUGGGGAAGAUAACAGUUCAACUACAAGGCAGGGUUAAUGAUUGUAGAGCUCUUACUUACAGACAGGAUGUCAAGGCAAGGGAUAUUGAAGAGUACAAAAUGCAAAAGCUUCCAACCCGCCAGUGGGGUUAUGUUGUGAUUACUACUCCCGAAGGGGUGCUGGAUCACGAAGAGGCUGUUAAACGUAAUGUGGGGGGGCAGGUUCUUGGCUAUUUUCAUUAACAUCUUGUGGAUGGGAAGAGAGAAUUGUUCUCCUAUAUGAUGACAUCCUGACUUCCCCAAUUAGAAUUUGUUGUUUUGUUUACCACAAAAUCAACUUAUGUGAAUC